UACGUAGGGGGCAAGCGUUGUCCGGAAUCAUUGGGCGUAAAGAGCGUGUAGGCGGCCAGAUAAGUCCGCUGUGAAAUCUCGAGGCUCAACUUCGAGCUGUCGGUGGAAACUGUCUGGCUAGAGUACGGUAGAGGGGGAUGGAAUUCCCAGUGUAGAGGUGAAAUUCGUAGAUAUUGGGAAGAACACCGGUGGCGAAGGCGGCUCACUGGCUCGUAACUGACGCUCAUGCACGACAGCGUGGGGAUCAAACAGG
rnacentral:rRNA from 1 species